AGGGUCAUCACAUGCCCUCUUAUGCCUCUUCGAAUCUGGAGCGACCGCACCACCGCCAGCGACAAAAUCCAAAUAAUGUUUGAUUUAUAUUAAUUCAAUCGGAAGGGUAUUUUUGUUCUAAUGUUAUGUUUAAUUAAUAUUAUUAUUAUGCAGGAGAGUGUUGAGAGAAUAUAUUGAACUCCAUCAACAUUAUGUGGCGGCGUCAGAAUUCAUAUGUAAUGGAUUUUUUGUAAAUGGGAUUUUUUGUGGUGGAUUUAGGUAAAAUUAAGGGAAUAUUUUUUAUAGUGGAUUUAAGCAAGUUUUUAGUGGAUUUUGAUAAAAUUGGAGUCAAUUUUCUCUUUGUAAAGGGGAUUUUUUGGUAGUGGUUUUUUAUAUUUUUGUAGUGGUUUCUAUGAUGAGCUUGUAAUGGAUUUCAGAUUUUUCGCGGAGGCGUAUGGCCAUGGGAGAUGGAAGAUGAUCGAAGGUUCAAGAAUAGUGGAUUUUUGUUUUUUUGUUCUUUUUUGUUUUCUUGUUGUGUUUGUACUUUGUAGUCGAUUAUUUCUGGGUGGUAUUCGGGUUGGUGCGGCACAUGAAUGAGCUUUUGUUUUCUGGAAUUUUGGGGAGGUGUCGGUGGCCAUGGGAGAUGGAUGAUGAUUUAGGGUUCGGGAAUAGUGGAUUUCGUUUUUUUUUUUUUUCUUUUUUUUCUGUUAACUUUUUGUUGUGUUUUUAGUCGAUUAAUUUAAUUCGUUGUGAAUUACGUAGAUUUGGAUAAGUUUGUAGUGGAUUACAUCAAUAUUAAUGUGCAUUACUUUUAU
rnacentral:lncRNA from 1 species